rnacentral:rRNA from 1 species
UACGGAGGAUGCGAGCGUUAUCCGGAUUUACUGGGUGUAAAGGGAGCGCAGGCGGCACGGCAAGCCUGAUGUGAAAGCCCGCGGCCCAACCGCGGGACUGCAUUGGGAACUACCGGGCUGAGUGCCGGAGAGGUAGGCGGAAUUCCUAGUGUAGCGGUGAAAUGCGUAGAUAUUAGGAGGAACACCAGUGGCGAAGGCGGCCUACUGGACGGUGACUGACGCUGAGGCUCGAAAGCGUGGGGAGCAAACAGG